rnacentral:rRNA from 1 species
UACGAAGGGGGCUAGCGUUGCUCGGAAUUACUGGGCGUAAAGGGCGCGUAGGCGGACAGUUUAGUCAGAGGUGAAAGCCCAGGGCUCAACCUUGGAAUUGCCUUUGAUACUGACUGUCUUGAGUUCGGGAGAGGUGAGUGGAAUGCCGAGUGUAGAGGUGAAAUUCGUAGAUAUUCGGCGGAACACCAGUGGCGAAGGCGACUCACUGGCCCGAUACUGACGCU